AACGAACGCUGGUGGCAUGCCUAACACAUGCAAGUCGAACGAGACCUUCGGGUCUAGUGGCGCACGGGUGCGUAACGCGUGGGAACCUGCCCUUAGGUUCGGAAUAACUCCCCGAAAGGGGUGCUAAUACCGGACAAUGUCUUCGGACCAAAGAUUUAUCGCCUUUGGAUGGGCCCGCGUUGGAUUAGCUAGUUGGUAGGGUAAAAGCCUACCAAGGCGACGAUCCAUAGCUGGUCUGAGAGGAUGAUCAGCCACACUGGGACUGAGACACGGCCCAGACUCCUACGGGAGGCAGCAGUGGGGAAUAUUGGACAAUGGGCGAAAGCCUGAUCCAGCAAUGCCGCGUGAGUGAUGAAGGCCUUAGGGUUGUAAAGCUCUUUUACCCGGGAUGAUAAUGACAGUACCGGGAGAAUAAGCUCCGGCUAACUCCGUG
rnacentral:rRNA from 1 species